GUUGUUCCUGUUGUGUGGGCCAGUGGAAUUGCAGGAGAGUGGAAGAGGGCAGAACCUGUAGGUAUUACCCCUACUGUGGGAUCUCUCCUGGUAAGGCAAACCCAGUAUUCUUUAAAAUCAGAAUGCCAGACUGGAUUGGUUGCAGGAACAGCUGAAUUUGCUCCUCCUGGUUUGCUUGUAGAAGGUGAAUGCCAGAACCUGCCAAGAAACCAAUGGCCAAGGGGAUUGAUUAGUGCAGGACCUGAGAGAACCCCCUGAAAUGACAACCUGGAGUAGUUUCCAGGAUUAGAUUGCAAAGAUGGCAUUUGCUGCAUGUCCUUGAGCAAGGAAAGCCAAGAAACCUUUGCUUUUGCAGGAGAAAAUCUGGAAAGCGGGCAGGAAGAAGAGAAGCCCCCUGACUCCUCCCUGAGCCCCAGACAGCCCCUGAACUGCCUUGCUGGGAAUGUGGGAUGGAGCCUGGAAACUGCACAGAGCUGAGCCAAGGGAUUGAAAGGGACCAACCAAGGGAGGUGAAGAAAGAAGGAAGAAGGGGAAGUGAGGCAGCAGCCAAGCAGCACCAAGUUGCUGUGUAAGCAGGUGAGUUGUGUUGAGGUUCCUCAGGCAGGCACUGAGGACUUUGAGGGCUCCAGACAGAGAAGACCUGGGAAGGCCCUCGGUGAAGCCCCUCAGAGACCUUCUAAGGGUAGGUGUGUGUGGUGAUAAGUGUUGGGAUUGUCCUGAAUGUGGAACAGGAAUGCAGGGAAGCAAAAUGAACCCUCCUGUAAUGCUGCCAUAUCAGCUGCAGUGGAGACACCUGUGUGUGCCCUUUGGGAUCUGAUUGCCAGGACCCCCGUGGGGCUGGGAUCAUGGCAGGGUGUUGUAAGCAAGGAAUGCCUGGCUUGGAAAACUCACCAGCUGAGUCUUAGAGGCUUCUUUGAAGAGCUGAUUUCAGGCAGCAGAAUUGGCCCCCAGGAGGGACUCUGUGCCUGCUCUCCCGUGGCUCCAAGGGAUCUCUGGCCCUUCACGCCGGCACCGAGAUUUUCUCGGGAAGGGCCUCAGAUCCCCAGACCGGUCUGGGACACAGGCAAGAUCCCCCUGCAGUUUAGGACCAAAUUGGGCCCCUGGAGGGACAGUGCUGUUGGUGCCCCCCGGGUUGGGGCACCCCGAGGACUCCAGCGCGCACCGAAAGGAUUAUUCGGGGAGAUCCUCGGGGUGCCCGGCCCUGGGGAGCUCAAAGCAAGGUCCCUGCAAUGGAUUCAGGCAUUGCUGAGAGUAUCCCAGGGGUCCCUGUCCCUGCUAGACAUGGAGCUCUCUAAUGGGCUGGAAUUGGGUGAUAAAAGUGGUGCUCCAAGUGCCAAAGAAGUGUGGGAUUGGGAUUAAGAAAUGAGCAGUGAUGGUGCAAUUGGCUGUUUUCUCUGGAAUGUGACUGUGAGAGCUGCAGGAGUGCCAGGUGUGUGUUCCAGUCCCCAGCAUUUGGUUUGCACCUGUCCUGGUCAGACACAGGUCCAACUUGCUCAGUCCUUAACACAAGAGAGGGAGAAUGAAGGACUGGCACUGUUUAGGUGAUUGGUGUGACAGGGGUUAAACUGUGAAAACAUUGGGUAGUUCUUGAGUUUGUCUGUUUGCCAAACUCACCCAAACCUCUGAUAGGAAGAGAUGGACUGGAGUCUCUGCUCCCCUGGGCAGUUGUUCUGCAUGACCUGGGAGCCUCUGGGAUUACACUGGACUGGGCAGACAGGGAGCAGUUUGUCCUGUGGAGGUGGGCUGGGUUAGUUCAGGAUGCCUUGGGAGGCAGGGCUGGAGAGGCUCCUCUGUUGGCUGUAGUGCUGGAAGGUUGUAGCAGGAGUGCUGGAGCCCUUCGACCUCCUGCUCCCCCCGUGAGCCCCGCCGGGCCCGUGCCCUUGGCAAUGGAGGGCCCCCCAUUGCUGAGCCAGCGGUUCCGGGGCCAGGAGGGAUGGGAUCAGGAUGCCGAGCUCCACCCAGGGCCAGGGCUGCCAGUGUUCAACCAUGGAGAGAACUGAGAGCAGAGUGAGAUGGAGGCCAAGCUCCAGCACAGGGAUGGGUGAGAAAAGACCCUGGUCCUCAGGUGGAGCUUUGAAUUCCCUGGAAAAAUGGAUCCUGUCAGAUGGUUCAGGCCCUUGUGGGUGCUGGAGCAGAGGCCUCUGUGAUUUAUGGUCACCCUGAAAGGUUGCAAGGACAGCAAGUUCUGACUGCAGGAUGAGGCGGCAAACAAAGUGAAGUGGUCCAGAGAAAAGCUGAGGCUAAAAUUGGUGCUGUGCCAGAGCAGCCUCGUGCAGUGCUUGUUGCUGUCCUGAGUGUCCCAUUGCAGGGGAUAUUCCCAAGGGUGCCUUGUGCUGGGGAACACUGGGGGCAGUUCCCUUUCCCUGGGCAGGGCAGGCAGGGCACGUUUCCCCCCUCGAGGGUGGCUCCACAGUCCCCCCCUGUGCCCUGGGAGCGUGGCAGAACACCUGGAGCCACUGUCCUUGUCAGAGAGGGCAAAGGGAUGGUUGGAUGGGGGAGGGAAUGGUUCAGGGAGUACAAGCACCAUUAGAGUGAGUAGUGCAGCACAUGGAAAAGAAGGGGGGAGUUAAUCCAGACAAAAUCCAAGCACCUGCCCAACCUGUGAUAUUUUUAGGAACUCAGUGGUGCUGUGGUCCCCAGGAAGUAUUGCCCAGGACUAGGCAGGAGACUUCAGGCUUGGUCACCCCCAGAGCAAGUCUCCAGGGGCAGGCAGUGGGGAGGCAGCUCUGCUGUUGAGGAUGGGGUUAUUUUCUCUGCUUUAUUUUGUCUCCAGGGAUAUUCUGCCCAUUAGUCCAAACUGCCUCCGUCUCCUAACUCUCUGAAGAGGUUUUCUGCUUUUUGUGGGAGGGUAAGGUUUGGAUUCUAACUAUAGAAGAGCCAACAAAAUAAAGGCUUCGUGGCAAACAAAUGGUGUCUCCCAAACUCUUUGUACUUCAAAUAGAUGCCUUUAUUCUUAUUUUUUUCUUAUUGGUAUUCUCAAGGUGUUUAAUACCCUGUCUACAGUUAUUUAUUUUGGCUUCUCUUUUUUAUUUGUUACAAAGUUGAUGUGACUGACUCCUUUUUGAAAUCCAGCAGUGCUCUCAAGGAUAUUUCCCCCCCCACUCCUGGGCUUGUGCAGGGCUGUUGAGUCCGUGUGUGCCGCUGUCAGCUUUGCUUCUCUGUUUGCUUGGUUGGCUCCUGUUAGGAGAAGGUUUGUUUCCUCCACUGUAAUAAUUCAGGGAAAUCCUGAGGUAUGAUUUAAGAAAGAAAGUCAUGAACUAUUGCAACAAAUGUGAAUCUGAGAGUGCCUAAAAGCUGUUACUGAAUUCCAUUUCCAGGGACUGUCCUGGUGGGGAUAAUCCAGAACUGCAGCUUUGAUGUUUAAAAAGGAGCCUGUGGUACUUCUUGUUUCCUGUGCUGGGCUUUCCUUGAACAGUGCCCAGGGAGGGGAGCAGCAACAGCUUCACUUGGAAGUGGACUCUGGUUUUUAAGCACAUCCUAAGCUCAGUGUGGUUUUGGUAUCACUAAGUACUUAUUUUAUUUGCCAUUUGUCUUAAAUUGUAUACACCUUUGAAGUGCCAGCUGUGUUUUGAAGACAUUCUUACAGUUGUUUCAAGUGAAAUUUGGAAUGUUACAAAUUUAGAAAGAGAUGAUUUUCCUGUGAAUAAACUACUAAAACAAAGGGGGGAGUGAGGAAAGCCAAGUUCAGGAGAUAACCUUACAAACUGGUUUUGGAAGUUGCUUACCUAAAUAGCCCAAAUUGGUUGGAGCUGCAGCACAAACGGGGGGGAGAAGGAGAGGUUUUGUAUUUUGACAGUUCUUUCAGUUUUUUGCAGGGACUACUGCCAGGUUCUCUUUGAAGUCCAAACCCCAUUAGCAUGGGGAAAUGUGUGUUUGGCUUUAGAAAUAGGAGUUUAUAUUUCCCUUUGAACUAGAGGAAUGUUUCUAUGUCUUUGAAUUUUAAAUUGCAUUUGAAGCAGAAAUAUGUUUGUGUUUUACAGGUGAUAUUUUCAUGAAAAUAGAAAUGCAUCAUUGGAUCUUACUCUUCUGAGGGCAAACCACCAGCCUGAUCAUUUCUUAGUCCCUCAAACCCAGUGCCAUGAACUCCAAGGGGUCUUUGGGUGCAAAUGUGUGGAGUGGUGGUGGCCCCCGUGAGAUGUGACCAGCUGGAAAUGUGUGUGUGUGUGUGUGCAGAGCUGGGCUGGAUCCCUUGGGAUUUGGCUCCCAGAUCCCCCCCAGCCUUCAGGAAAACUAGAGGCCACCGAACCCUGAGGGAAGGGAGUCCCAUCUGCAGAAGGGUUUUUAGGUUGGGGAAAAGCUCCAGAACAAAGCCUGGGUUCAAAACACCUUCAGCAAAAGUCAAGGAGCACAGACCCUGAAGUCAUCAAGUUAUGGAGUUUGGUUCAAACCAUUUGCUUCUCAGUCAGUUUGAAUGAAGUGUUAAAAGGAGAACUUAAAUAAGGUUAAUUUCUGAUAGAGAACAAUGGGAAGAAGUCAAGUGGUUUAAGUUCAUUAAACAUGUUUUAUAUCAGUCCAUGGUUAUUUAAUUGAGCAUUGUUUGGAAUUUUUCUUUUUGCAUUUGUUCCUUGUGUGCUUUUCUCUAUCUAAGGGAUGGUUGGAGGUCUUUCUGAUUGGUUGAAUGUUUUUAAUGUCAGUGCUAGACUGGGGUGGACAGUCAUUGUACCAUGAUUUAGAGUUUGAUGCA